AACGAACGCUGGCGGCGUGGAUAAGACAUGCAAGUCGAACGGAACACAAAGUGUAGUAAUACAGUUUGUGUUUAGUGGCGAACGGGUGCGUAACACGUGGGCAAUCUGCCGGGAAGUGGGGGAUAACUCGUCGAAAGGCGAACUAAUACCGCAUGUGACCAGGGGGGACAUCCCUCCGAAGUCAAAGCUGGGGUAACCUAGCGCUUCCUGAUGAGCCCGCGGCCUAUCAGCUUGUUGGUGAGGUAACGGCUCACCAAGGCUAUGACGGGUAGCUGGUCUGAGAGGACGACCAGCCACACUGGAACUGAGACACGGUCCAGACACCUACGGGUGGCAG
rnacentral:rRNA from 1 species